AUUGAACGCUGGCGGCAGGCCUAACACAUGCAAGUCGAACGAGUGGCGGACGGGUGAGUAAUGUCUGGGAAACUGCCUGAUGGAGGGGGAUAACUACUGGAAACGGUAGCUAAUACCGCCAACCAUCAGAUGAGCCCAGAUGGGAUUCGCUGGUUGGUGGGGUAACGGCUCACCAAGGCGACGAUCCCUAGCUGGUCUGCGAGGCUGAACUGCCACACUGGAAGUGAGACACGGUCCAGACUCCUACGUGAGGCAGCAGUGGGGAAUAUUGCACAAUGGGCGCAAGCCUGAUGCAGCCAUGCCGCGUGUAUGAAGAAGGCCUUCGGGUUGUAAAGUUCUUUCAGCGGGGAGGCGUUACCCGCAGAAGAAGCACCGGCUAACUCCGUGCCAGCAGCCGCGGUAAUUC
rnacentral:rRNA from 1 species